rnacentral:misc_RNA from 1 species
AAAGUCGUAACAAGGUCUCCGUAGGUGAACCUGCGGAGGGAUCAUUAACAUAUGGUCGAAACCAUGUCAAGAUGCUUUAUCGGCUCUUGGCAUUCGACUUUCUCACACCCAUGAACCUUUUUGUAUCACCACCCCUCACCUUGUGAUCUUGUUCCAUAUUAAUGGUUACCCCUCUGAAAUCGAGAUACCACUCCUAGCAAUGGAUCUCUUGACUUCC